AGAGUGGGAUCCUUGCUCAGGACGAACGCUGGCGGCGUGCCUAAUACAUGCAAGUAGGACGCACAGUCUAUACCGUAGCUUGCUACACCAUAGACUGUGAGUUGCGAACGGGUGAGUAACGCGUAGGUAACCUGCCUAUUAGAGGGGGAUAACUAUUGGAAACGAUAGCUAAUACCGCAUAACAGUAUGUAACACAUGUUAGAUGCUUGAAAGAUGCAAUUGCAUCGCUAGUAGAUGGACCUGCGUUGUAUUAGCUAGUAGGUAGGGUAAUGGCCUACCUAGGCGACGAUACAUAGCCGACCUGAGAGGGUGAUCGGCCACACUGGGACUGAGACACGGCCCAGACUCCUACGGGAGGCAGCAGUAGGGAAUCUUCGGCAAUGGGGGGAACCCUGACCGAGCAACGCCGCGUGAGUGAAGAAGGUUUUCGGAUCGUAAAGCUCUGUUGUUAAGGAAGAACGAGUGUGAGAAUGGAAAGUUCAUACUGUGACGGUACUUAACCAGAAAGGGACGGCUAACUACGUGCCAGCAGCCGCGGUAAUACGUAGGUCCCGAGCGUUGUCCGGAUUUAUUGGGCGUAAAGCGAGCGCAGGCGGUUAGAAAAGUCUGAAGUGAAAGGCAGUGGCUCAACCAUUGUAGGCUUUGGAAACUGUUUAACUUGAGUGCAGAAGGGGAGAGUGGAAUUCCAUGUGUAGCGGUGAAAUGCGUAGAUAUAUGGAGGAACACCGGUGGCGAAAGCGGCUCUCUGGUCUGUAACUGACGCUGAGGCUCGAAAGCGUGGGGAGCGAACAAG
rnacentral:rRNA from 1 species